rnacentral:rRNA from 1 species
UGGGGAAUAUUGCACAAUGGGCGCAAGCCUGAUGCAGCCAUGCCGCGUGUAUGAAGAAGGCCUUCGGGUUGUAAAGUACUUUCAGCGAGGAGGAAGGCGUUGUGGUUAAUAACCGCAGCGAUUGACGUUACUCGCAGAAGAAGCACCGGCUAACUCCGUGCCAGCAGCCGCGGUAAUACGGAGGGUGCAAGCGUUAAUCGGAAUUACUGGGUGUAAAGCGCACGCAGGCGGUCUGUCAAGUCGGAUGUGAAAUCCCCGGGCUCAACCUGGGAACUGCAUCCGAAACUGGCAGGCUAGAGUCUUGUAGAGGGGGGUAGAAUUCCAGGUGUAGCGGUGAAAUGCGUAGAGAUCUGGAGGAAUACCGGUGGCGAAGGCGGCCCCCUGGACAAAGACUGACGCUCAGGUGCGAAGGCGUGGGGAGCAAACA